rnacentral:rRNA from 1 species
AUUGAACGCUGGCGGCAUGCUUUACACAUGCAAGUCGAACGGUAACAGGCCUUCGGGUGCUGACGAGUGGCGAACGGGUGAGUAAUGCAUCGGAACGUACCCAGAGGUGGGGGAUAACGCAGCGAAAGCUGUGCUAAUACCGCAUGUGAUCUGAGGAUGAAAGCGGGGGACCGAGCAGCAAUGUUUGGCCUCGCGCCUUUGGAGCGGCCGAUGUCGGAUUAGCUAGUUGGUGGGGUAAAGGCCUACCAAGGCGACGAUCCGUAGCUGGUCUGAGAGGACGACCAGCCACACUGGGACUGAGACACGGCCCAGACUCCUACGGGAGGCAGCAAUGGGGAAUUUUGGACAAUGGGCGCAAGCCUGGUCCAGCAAUGCCGCGUGCGGGAAGAAGGCCUUCGGGUUGUAAACCGCUUUUGGCAGGAACGAAACGGUGUCCGCUAAUACCGGGCGCUAAUGACGGUACCUGCAGAAUAAGCACCGGCUAACUACGUG